AUUUAUCGGUAAUUUAUAUAAAAACGUUGUUUUUUCGAUUCCGGUUUAGGAAUAAAUAAAAUCGAAAUUGCGGUUUUUUUAUUAUCCGUUUAAUAAAAUCGAUUUUCAAAAAUUCGUCGAUGGUUUUUUUUUCCAAUUCCAUUAUUGCGAAAAAGGUCGAAUAACGGGCUAGUUUUUUUUCCAAAAAUUUUUCAAAUUCCAAAAUUAUAUCGAAACCGGCUCGGUUAAAUAGAAAAAUUGUCGACGUUUUUUUGGAAAAUUUUUUUUUUAAAAUGGGCAAAUAUUUUGGGUAAUUUGGCUCGUAUUUGCGCAAUAUAUUCCGGAUUUUCGUUUAUAAAAAAUAAAAUAAAACGUUUAUUAUCAAUUUUAUUUUAUUAUAAAAUUAAUACCGUAUUUAAAUUGGUUAUAAAUGUAUUAUUUAUUGGUAUUAAUAAUAUAAAUUCCGUGGGUAACGGGGAUUAUUUCCAUCGAUUUUAACGUGGAUUAUUAAAAAGGGCACAAAUAUUUGCUGGCAGGGUUUUGUUGGAAACGGUUUUUGGAAUAAUUGGAAAAACGUUAAUUUUUGCAAUUUAAAUCUGGUUUCCGUAUUGGCGUUUAGGGUUUUAAAAUAUUUUGCGGACUUAAAUGCGACGGUUUUUUUAUUCCAUUUUGCGAUUCCGGCGAAUUGCGUUAAUUUGGGUUUCGAAAUCCAAAAACGGAUUUACACGUUAUACGAUAAUUACCGGUAAAUAUUAAAUUAUAACGGGCAAAUUAUUAAACCAAACUAAAUUACGGAUAAUUAAAAAUAAAUUUAUUCGAUAUUUCGUCCAUUAUUUUUAUCCGAUAAAUAUAUUAUAUACCGUUUCGAGGAAAAUAAAUUUUUGUCGUGGAAAUUAUUAUCCGUCGAUUUGCAAAAUAAACCGAAAAUAUUCGGUGGUUUUUGCGGUAGUUUUCCUAUUAAAAUUUCCAAAAUUUAAAGGUUUGGGGGAUUUUUUAAUGGGUAAUCUUAAACGUUGGGCGGUUUUUUUCGCGAAAUUCGGUCGGAUAAAUAAAUAUAUAUUUGUUCCGAUAUUAUAAAAAAUUUAGGCGUUAAAAUUACAAUUUUUAUUUUGCAAUCGAAUAGGAAUAAAAGAAAUAUUUAAUUUAGGUAAUUUAUUAAUUUUAAUUAUUUGAAAUACGCAAAUUACCGAGGAAAUUUCCGGCAAUUUUAGCAAUUUUCCAAAUUCGACGAAAAUAAAUUAUAGCCGGAUCGUUUACAAAUUUUUCGAUCGUUUUUAUAUUAAAAGGUAAAAACGGCGGCGAUAUAAACGGCCUUUUGGGGGCAAUUGCGUACCAAAUACCCGGUUCUUUUGCAAAAAAAACAUUUACUUUUAAUAAUUAAUUUCGCGUUUUUUUUGCUGGGCGAUUUCGGGGCGUUAAUAAUUUAUAUACGGGUUUGGUUUUUGGUUUUUUGGUUAUACCGGCGAUUUUCGCGUCGACGUUAUUUGCGUUCGGCGUUGGUUAAACGUUUACGGCGUUUUCCUUUUUUUUGCAAUUUUCGCGGAAUUUCUCCCAAACGCGUUAUUGGACCAACGUCGAAUUUGCAAUUUUUCCGGCAAAGAUUUUGUACGAAAUAUUUGGGUUUUUAAAUAGGUUAAAAAAUUGGGGGUUUAAAUUAGUAAAAAUAUAUUUAUUAUAAUAUUUGGACUAUAAGAUUACCAGACCCUAAUUCUAACCCUGGACCAACGACCCACCAGGGUAAUACUUUUAUCGACGUUACUUCAAAUUUAAAAUUUUGUUUGUUUUUUUUCCUCUCCUCAAAAUAAAAUUUUCGUCGAUAAAUACCAAUAGAUUAAUUUCCGUAUUAUAUUUACCCCGGGCCGUAAUACAAUUUUAUUUUCAAAGAAAUCGCUGGUUUAACAAUUAAUAAAUAAGGCGCAAUAAAUUAUUUUUACGCCGUUGGCGAACGACGAAAAUAAAUCCGCAUUUAACAAACCAAACCCGACCGGAAAUUAACAAAAACGUUAAUUUUAAACCCAAACCGACCCCAAUUUAUAUCCAGGUUAAAAAAUUAUCCAUUUGCAAACAAAAAAUUACAAAAAUUAAUUUCGAAUAAAACGAAACAAACAAAUCGCUUUAUUAAUAACCCGACCCGAUUAAAAAAUUAAACCGAUUUUACGCCAAAUACCAAUUCCACCUUCGAAAACGAAAUCGAAAUUAAUCUUUUUUCGAAUACCGCGUGGUUUAAUAUAAAAACGCCCGAGGAAAAUUUAAACGAAUUUAAAUUUGCAAAAACAAAAUAUAUAACGCCGGAAAUAAGCCCCAAUAUAAUAGCAGACGAAAAUAAUUUAACCAGCGAAAUUAUUAGGUUAUAGGCAAUUAUUAUACGCCUGCAAACCGAACGACAAAAUAACCAACCGGAAACCCGGUAAUCUAUACCCGAAAAUAACGUUUUUGGAAAUACCAGGUUCGAACCGACCGGCCUAACCAGCAGGAAAAUAUUUAAACCGUACGGCCAUAAUUAAAAAAUAACCAACCCGCAUUACAGCGAAAAAACCAAAAAUAAAAAAUUAAAUCCAAAUAUAUUUUUCGGCAAUUUAACCAUUUUUGACCGCUGGAUUACGGAAUUAGCAAAUUAUUUCAAAAAAAAUAAUAUAAUUUUCCGAAUUAAAUAAAACCGUAUGGUAAAAUUGUUUAACUUAUUGGACGACCGACCAGCAACGAUAUUAAAAACCAAAUAUAAUUUAAAAACCCAACCGUAUUUAUACGUGGUAAAAAUAAUCCAGGUUUUGGCCACGGUAUAUUAUAAUAGUAAUUAAACGUCCGAAAUAUGGGAAAAAUUAUUGAAAAUAUAUUUUAAAUGCGGAUUAGGUAAUAACGUUUAUAAUUUUAUUGCGGAAAUAAAUAAUUUCGCCGAUAAAAUUGGAAUACCAGCAGGAAAACGCAAAAUUAUAUUAUAAUAAUAUAUCCCGGCAAAUUUCGAUUACCGGCUAUUACGAAAUAGCAAAAACCCCAAAAUAUCUUAUAAAAAAUUCGCAAAUUUGGUGGCCGAUGCAAUUUAUAAUAUUUAACAAGCGUAUCGGGAACGAGAAAAGCGAAAAUAAAAAAAUCGCAAUAAAAAUAAAAAAGAAAAAUACCCCUAUAACCUAAAUAAAAAUAGGAAAAGCAAUCGAGAACGUUAUUACGAAUUUAGCAACCCGAACAAAAGAAAAAAAAAACGAUAUAAUAUUUAAAAUAACAAAAACCACAGGACGUGGUUUGACAAAAAUUAAAAAAAUGGUUUAUUGGGAAAUUAACAUUUGUUUCGCGUGCGGGAAAAAAGGAUAUAAAUUAUUUAAAUGCCCCAAUAAAACGAAAACAGUUAGGAUUUUAAAUUUUAAAAACAACCAUAAUAUUAAUAACGAGUAAAAGCGAUCGGGAAAAAAGUAAAACCGCCAAAAACCUUUUCGGUAAUCCAAAUAUUUACGAUAAUUUAAAUUAAUAAUAAUCCACGAUUUAAAUUUUUUAUUAUUCGAAUUUAAAUAUAGGUUAAUAGCGUAAUAUUAUUAAUUAAAAAUUUUUAUAAUACCGGAACAAAUAUUUCUUUUUUAAUUAAUUUAACAAUCGUUAAAUAAACCGCAGAAUGGUUAGAAACCCGGUUUUAAAAGUUAAAAACCCCGUUAUUUUUAUCGGAUUACCGCAAAUAGGACGCAAAACGUAUUACAUAUAAAUUAAAAGCGAUUUUGGAAAUUAAUGGAUGUCGGUUUAAUAACCAAAUAUUUUACAUAACGGAAAAUAAAUAUAAUAUAUUUAUUGGCCAAAAUUGGUUAAUUAAAUAAAAUGUUUGGAUCCACCCGAAAACGCAAACGUUCGUAUAAUUUAAAAUAAUAUUAUUAUUGGUAAAAUUUUCGCCAAUUAUUAAAUUUCCAAAUAUAUU
rnacentral:sRNA from 1 species